AUACAAAAAACAAAAUAUGUAGCCAAAAUACCAAAACCACAGAACAAAAGAGAAACACGCACUUUUCUAAACGUUGUACACUGCAAGGUUUCCUGUUCAAGGUUAACCCUGCAUGUGUGUAAUGGACCGAGUUGAAAAACAGGAGGAGUCCCACAAAUUAUUAGAAAAAUAUGUUUUUCAUUCAUUUAACCCCCCAAAAUUAGAUUUACAAAAGUAAUAAAUGUUGAGCUCAUAAAAGAGGUCAAAGAAACAAAACUGAACUCAGGCCAAGACUGCAACCUUAACAAACCAAAUGACUGCCACAAACAAACAUAACUGACCUAAACAUGAAAUGACGCACAGGGGUACAUGUAAUGGCUGAUCAGACCAUUGUGACACAUGAGGGGUAACAAACAAACACAAUCAUAAAUCACAAAACAAUGCAGUACAGUCUAGUUUGUGAAUAAACUAAACACUAAAGAAGAAAAUCAAAACCAUUAAACCCUAAACUCAAAUAUUUAAUUAAAUACAAAUACUUUGUUUUUAAAUUGAAGCAAACACACAUUCUCCCCUUCAGCAGGGAGUGGUGGUGUGGUCCAAUUAUCCCUCUUUGCAUUUAGUGGUUUCAAACCCUGGCUACCAUCUUUUGUCCAGCAACUCCCGGGGAUGAUGGCAGUGCCCCAAGCAGAUUAGGGCACAGCAGGCGUGAUGCCAACUCAUGCAGCUUCUCCUUAGAAGUCACUCAGCGCCCCGUCCGUGUAGACAAAGAGCAAUAAUGGGAGAAAAAAGACACAGACUAGGCUCCUCCAGGCAGACCCAUUGCUAACCAGCCUCUGAGUGCUGAAUGAGAAGGCAGACCCCCGCCAUGCCAGAUUCACCAGGUCUUUCUCCCAGUGAGAGCGAUGAUUCAGCUUCUCAUCUGGGUCCUGUGCCAGUAUAGCAUUUACUAGCAGAUGGAUAAACAGGUUUGGAAAUCCCCUCCCUGUACUAAGGUCUCUUCUUUGAUUCUCAAACUUUUCCCCCCUCACACAUUCACGUGGCAACACAAUGAGUGGCUUCCAGGAGAGACUCGCCCUUCAAACUAAUGAUUCAUCAAUAAUGUUUAGCCAGAAUUGAAGCAUCUGAAUCCACAGCAUGUCUGUGCUCUGGCACUCCUUGAGGCAAAGAUCUAACAGCUCCAACCAGAUGUUUUGGCUGUGCUCCAGUUGUUGUUUGUUGGGUAAAAACUGGUUAAUUAAAGUUAAUUAUGAGUUUGUUUUGCUUUGUAGUUUUAAUUGGCAUGUUUAUCUCUGUUUACUUCAUACAGCUCAUAUCAUCUUAAUAAUAGUAUGCAGGUUGAACGCCACAACUGGUUGUCUUAAGGUUGACUUAAAAUAAAGAAUACAAACCAAACUGUGAAUGUUGGGAGUUAAAUUAACUUCAAGGUGAUUGGCUGAUGACCAAAGCACGUCAUAGUUUGGAACCAUUCGCAUGUUUGUAUUUUAGUAUAAAUGUCUGACUGUAUGGUUGAUUUGAAAAUGUAAAGUUAUUUUUAACACGUGGCUUUUAUUCAAACUCUGAAGCACUUUGUAACUCUGUGUUUGGAUAAAAGUCCAUCAAGUUAUGAACCCAUCAGCACAUCCAUGAUUCUUAUAUCACCUUCCAAAGGUGCUCCAUUAGACUGAGAUCUGCUGACAGUGGCCAUUAGAGUUCACUGAACUCACUGUCAUGUUCAAGAAAACGGUUUAAGAUGAUCUAAGAUUUGUGACACGACACGCUGUUCUGCUGGAAUCAGCCAUCAGAGGAGAGGUACACUGUUCUCAUAAAGAGACGGACAUGUUCAGCAAUAAUACUCAGGCAAGCUGUGAUGUUUACCUGAGUAUUAUUGCUACUCGGUUGAUACUAAGGGGCCCAAAAUGUGCCAAGAAAAUACCCCCCACAGUGACACCACCACCGCUAGUCUGCACAGCUGACAUAAGGCAGGAUGGAUCCAUCCUUUCAUGCUAUUUAUGCCAAAUUCUGACCCGACCAUCUGCAUGUCAGAGCAGAAAUCAAGACUCAUCAGACCAGGCAACAUUUUUCCAAUCUUCUCAUGUCAAAUUUUGAGAACUGUAGCUUCAGUUUCCUGUUCUUAGCUGACUAAAAUGCUCUUCUGCAUUCUUUGGUUGUAACAAAUGGUUGUAUGAGCUACGGUUGCCUUCCUAUCAGACAUUUUUCUCUGACCGUUGACAUCAAUAAGGCAGUUUUCCCAAGAGAACUGAAGAAGUGCUUUUAAAUUAAAGAAUAACCAUUCAAAGUGCUCAGUGGUGAAACUUUAAAUCUUUCAGAGUUUGAUAGCUGGACAAGUGAUGCCUUAUUUGAAGAAACGUGAAAUGAGUUCAGCAUAUUAUGUGAACAGAGAUAAUUCAAUGGGUAAAAAUAAACACUGACAAGAGAAACACUUCACUGUUGAUUACCAUAUGGAUUCUAAUGAAAGCUGUAAAUCUGUUAAUAUCCUGUUAAUCUACAUACAGCAAAUAAAGAACAUGUGACUUUAAAGCAUCCAGCAAAGUGAUAACU